GACGAACGCUGGCGGCGUGCUUAACACAUGCAAGUCGAACGAUGAAGCCGGAGCUUGCUCUGGUGAAUUAGUGGCGAACGGGUGAGUAACACGUGAGUAACCUGCCCUUGACUCUGGGAUAACUGCGGGAAACUGUAGCUAAUACCGGAUACGACCCUCGGAGGCAUCUCCUGGGGGUGGAAAGAAUUUCGGUCAAGGAUGGACUCGCGGCCUAUCAGCUAGUUGGUGAGGUAAAGGCUCACCAAGGCGACGACGGGUAGCCGGCCUGAGAGGGUCACCGGCCACACUGGGACUGAGACACGGCCCAGACUCCUACGGGAGGCAGCAGUGGGGAAUAUUGCACGAUGGGCGCAAGCCUGAUGCAGCACCGCCGCGUGAGGGAUGACGGCCUUCGGGUUGUAAACCUCUUUUAGCAGGGAAGAAGCGAAAGUGACGGUACCUGCAGAAAAAGCACCGGCUAACUACGUGCCAGCAGCCGCCGUAA
rnacentral:rRNA from 1 species